AUGUCACCAUGUGAAAAGAUCUGCACCAAUAGCACCCAGCAUGAUAGGAUGCUUAUGAUGUAUUGUGUUUUUCUCUUGUUGCAGGUCACUGUGACAGCCUUAAAUGACCUCUCUCCUCCUGAGGAUUGCAGGAGCAUCACUACUGAGGAUGAUGGCGAGAGUUCAUCACUCGCUGUUUAUGAGUGGAUUCUGGAAAAUCUCAACAGUGAAGAAGACAUCUUUCCAGAUCAACAAGAGUACCCUGCAGCAUGUCCCCAUAUGAAACCCUUUCAGGCAUCCCUCUCGGUUAUCACAGAGGAGUCAUCUUCAUCACUUUCCGAAUGGAUGAGAGAAUUUGUUCCAGCAGUAAUCUUGCCUGGGAUAGAUUCGUCAGAAGAAGUUAUAGCCAUUCACAAGGGAUACUCAACUUUAUUGGAUGACGGGCCUGAUCUUCAGCAGGAGGACCCUUCCGUUGAUGCUGCAUGGGUCAAGGAGGCUACAGGACUGCAGCAAGCUGAUCAACAAGAGUACCCUGCACCAUGUCCCCAUAUGGAACCCUCUCAGGGAUCCCUCUCGGUUAUUACAGAGGAGUCAUCUUCAUCACUUUCCGAAUGGACGAGAGAAUUUGUUCCAGCAGUAAUCUUGCCUGGGAUAGAUUCGUCAGAAGAAGUUAUAGCCAUUCACAAGGUAAAGUCUUUCUUUGAAAUGGGUAUUUUGUUGUUCAUUUUAAUUAGAAUAUGGAAAUCUUACACUGUACAUUAUAGAUGA
rnacentral:lncRNA from 1 species